AUUGAACGCUGGCGGCAAGCCUAACACAUGCAAGUCGAACGAGUGGCGUACGGGUGAUUAAUGUCUGGGCACCUUCCUGGUGGAGGGGGAUAACUACUGGAAACGGUAGCUAAUACCGCAUACCAUCGGAUGUCCCCAGAUGGGAUUAGCUAGUAGGUGGGGUAAAGGCUCACCUAGGCGACGAUCCCUAGCUGGUCUGAGAGGAUGACCAGCCACACUGGAACUGAGACACGGUCCAGACUCCUACGGGAGGCAGCAGUGGGGAAUAUUGCACAAUGGGCGAAAGCCUGAUGCAGCCAUGCCGCGUGUGUGAAGAAGGCCUUCGGGUUGUAAAGUACUUUCAGCGGGGAGGCGGUACCCGCAGAAGAAGCACCGGCUAACUCCGUGCCAGCAGCCGCGGUAAUAC
rnacentral:rRNA from 1 species